CCAAGAGCUUGUUUUGUUUGUCUGCUUGCUUGACUUGCAUCGACCGAGUUGUUGGACCGUUGGAUUUUUUAUUUGUUUAUUAAGAUUUUUUUUCACGAACAUGUGUCAGAGCAUAAGUUUUUCAUUAAGAGUAGAGUAUUUAAGAAAUCAGGAGGGGUUUGCACAUCUACUGAAAAUUAAUUAAGAAAAUGAAAGUUUCUACUGCUUACGUAGGAGUAAAUAGAGAUUGACUUGGAUCGAAGCAAGUCGUUGCCAAUAAUCUUGUCAG
rnacentral:lncRNA from 1 species